GUGUUAUAUGAAAGGAGAGAAGGUUAGCACUCCCCUUGACAAGGACGGAAUGGCCUCUGGGCCUAUAACACAUAUACACGGUUAAGGCACAUGGUUGCUUACUUCGCAGCCACUUAACCGCAAUUUUUU